GACGAACGCUGGCGGCGUGCUUAACACAUGCAAGUCGAACGGAAAGGCCCUGCUUUUGUUGGGUGCUCGAGUGGCGAACGGGUGAGUAACACGUGAGUAACCUUCCCUUGACUUUGGGAUAACUUCAGGAAACUGGGGCUAAUACCGGAUAGGAGCUCCUGCUGCAUGGUGGGGGUUGGAAAGUUUCGGCGGUUGGGGAUGGACUCGCGGCUUAUCAGCUUGUUGGUGGGGUAGUGGCUUACCAAGGCUUUGACGGGUAGCCGGCCUGAGAGGGUGACCGGCCACAUUGGGACUGAGAUACGGCCCAGACUCCUACGGGAGGCAGCAGUGGGGAAUAUUGCACAAUGGGCGGAAGCCUGAUGCAGCAACGACGCGUGCGGGAUGACGGCCUUCGGGUUGUAAACCGCUUUCGCCUGUGACGAAGCGUGAGUGACGGUAAUGGGUAAAGAAGCACCGGCUAACUACGUG
rnacentral:rRNA from 1 species